rnacentral:rRNA from 1 species
CUACGGGGGGCUGCAGUGGGGAAUAUUGGACAAUGGACCAAAAGUCUGAUCCAGCAAUUCUGUGUGCACGAUGACGGUCUUCGGAUUGUAAAGUGCUUUCAGUUGGGAAGAAAAAAAUGACGGUACCAACAGAAGAAGCGACGGCUAAAUACGUGCCAGCAGCCGCGGUAAUACGUAUGUCGCAAGCGUUAUCCGGAUUUAUUGGGCGUAAAGCGCGUCUAGGUGGUUUGAUAAGUCUGAUGUGAAAAUGCGGGGCUCAACUCCGUAUUGCGUUGGAAACUGUCAAACUAGAGUAUCGGAGAGGUGGGCGGAACUACAAGUGUAGAGGUGAAAUUCGUAGAUAUUUGUAGGAAUGCCGAUAGAGAAGUCAGCUCACUGGACGAAUACUGACACUGAAGCGCGAAAGCAUGGGGAGCAAACAGGAUUAGAUACCCGGGUAGUC